UUGUUAUCCUUUUUCAUUUGUUAAGAUUAUCAUCUACUCUUCAGUUCCCCAGCCACCCCUCCCUGGCCCUGAGAUCAAAACCCAUUGAGCAUUCUGGGGCAGGCUUCCUAAACAUCUCACAUGAAGGAGGCUUCCUUUGCAGGCACUAAGUAGAAGCUGACAUCACUGUUAAUCAAGGCGUUCCAAUUUAUGUUUUACAGAAGAAAGUGCAAUGCAUGGGUGUGGUAGGGUUUCCUCACAUCUGCCCUUUCAUGUCUAAAGAUUCUGAGAUUUAAUUGAAUAUUCUUGUUCUGUCAGCUGUGAGACUGGAAUUUUGCUUAUCAAGAUUAGCUUGAUCUGGAAAAUAUCAUUUACAUUUAUUUCCCCACGACAUAUUUUAAUGCUAUGUCUGGGAUGCACUCCCGCUCUAGACUGACCAGUCCACACCUGUGGUUGAUGCAUUCUAAGAGGCAGCCAGUGAAAGCUGCUCAUUGCCAAUCAUGUAGGCCCAGUCUGGGCAUGCCUGGAUCCUUAAUGAGUUGUCAAGAGUCACAAGAGCAUUUCAGAAAAAAAAAUAUGCGAAUUUCAAGUGUUUCAUGACCUUUAGUACUACAGAGACAGCAAGACCAACCGCUCCUCUUCUUUCUCCUACUCAAGGUGAAGACGAUGAGGAUGAAGAUCUUUAUAAUGAUCCACUUCCACCUGCUUAAUAGUAACUACGUUUUCUCUUUCUUAUGAUUUUCUUAAUAGCUUACUUUACUGUAAGAUGGGUGUGAUUUUUGUCUUGCCCUGUGAUGGUCCAUAUGUUCACCGGCCACAGUGAUAAAAGCAUUUAAGAAGUCAAAUGUAGCAUCUAGAAUUAUUCAGAUCUCACAGUUGUGUGGACGACUAGAAAGUAUCCUUCAGUUUUCUGAAACUUUGGUUGUAUCUGAGUAUAUAUACAUAUAUUUAAAACAGAGAAAUACAAUUCAUGUUAAUUACAUUGGAAUUAGAGGGAAUUUGUAGAACUUUUGCUAUGCCAUUGGAUAAAAUCUUGACGUUAUUAUUAGAAAUCAUCUUAUUGGUUAUUAUUAUAUUGAAGAAAUAAUUUGAUUUUUAAAUAGAUUCUUAUUUUCUAGAAGGAGGUAAAAAACAUGCACCUGACUUUUCUAUGGCGUAAAGCCAAGGCUGGUAAUCUGUAUUCUGGCUGCCUGAUCUUCCCUACCAGUUGUUUUUAUAAAUAAAGUUUUAUUGGAACACAACUACAUUCAUUUAUUAACAUAUCACCAGUGACAGCUUUUGAGCUGCAAUGAUAGGGAAGGUUUGACAGAGACUGUGUUACCCACAAAGCCUAAAAUAUUUGCCAUCUUGUCCUUUACAUAAGAAAUUUGCCAACCCCGAUUGUUAGUGAUUUGAAGAAACUACAUUAGAUUUGUUUCUCAUAAAAUAUAAGAUUCAGUGUUAUUUAUGAAUGAAAUCUAAAUGUCUUUAAAGGUUUAAACAAUAGAAGUGGGAAUUAUGGUUUUUUGAAAGUGGAAAAUUGAAGGCUAUGUAUUUUUUUUCCAAAAUUUGGUGUUGUACGGAUUUUUUCCUCUCUGUGUUUGUUAAAAUUCUCUUUAUCACUUAUUUUCAUGAAAGGCUAUCUUGCUAAUAAUUUAAAGCCUUUAAUGAUGGGAGUGAUUUCAAUAACAUUACCUUUUUCACUUUCAUUUCGUUGCCAAAUAAACACAAAUUAAAGACUAGACUUUGAUCAGAAGUUAAUUCUUCAGCAUUUAGCAAUGACAUUUCCUGGUAGUAUAAAAUAUCUUUAAAGAUUCCGUAGCUACAGAUAUCCUUUUGAAUGGAAAACUAAAGCACAUUCACCACCAGCUCUAAGAACAUACUGCUAAACCCAGUCUAGAGAGUAGUUGGUGAGCUCAUACAGAAUAUUACUCAAGGCCUUUCCUGCCCUGUCAGUUCCCAGGCUGACAAAGUGUGGCAGCCACCUGGCCUUCCAUUACUCCUUUUUCCCCAAUAUAACACUGCCUUGAGAGCAGCACUCCCACAUCACGAGUACUGAACUCCAAUUACCUCUUGGGCAGGCCUCACACAUGUUGCUUAACCUCUCGGGUCUCACUUUACUCAUCUGUAAAAAGGAAUCAUAAUGGCACCACCUCAGAGGGUAAACACAAAGAAUUUAGAAGUGUGGCAUGUUCCUGGUGUUAUCCUCCAAGCGGAAUGUCAGAAGCUAGGAAGGGUCUUUGUGAAAUGACAAAAUAACCUAACUUU